rnacentral:rRNA from 1 species
GGGGAAUAUUGCACGAUGGGCGAAAGCCUGAUGCAGCAACGCCGCGUGAGUGAAGAAGGCCUUCGGGUUGUAAAGCUCUUUCGGCCGGGAAGAAAUCGUGUUCUCUAACAUAAGACAUGGAUGACGGUACCGGACUAAGAAGCACCGGCUAACUACGUGCCAGCAGCCGCGGUAAUACGUAGGGUGCGAGCGUUAAUCGGAAUUACUGGGCGUAAAGCGUGCGCAGGCGGUUUUGUAAGACAGAUGUGAAAUCCCCGGGCUUAACCUGGGAACUGCGUUUGUGACUGCAAGGCUAGAGUACGGCAGAGGGGGGUGGAAUUCCUGGUGUAGCAGUGAAAUGCGUAGAUAUCAGGAGGAACACCGAUGGCGAAGGCAGCCCCCUGGGCCUGUACUGACGCUCAUGCACGAAAGCGUGGGGAGCAAAC